ensembl:snRNA U2 U2 spliceosomal RNA
ACUGAUUCAGCAAGAACCAAAAAUGGGUGGCUAAGAUCAAAAGUAGUAUCUGUUCUUAUCAGUUUAAUAUCUGAUAUGUCCUCUAUCCAAGGACAAUAUAUUAUUAGAAAGGAAUGAAGUACU